AGAGUUUGAUCAUGGCUCAGGACGAACGCUGGCGGCGUGCCUAACACAUGCAAGUCGAACGGAGAAUUUCAAAGAGCUUGCUCUAAGAGGUUUUUAGUGGCGGACGGGUGAGUAACGCGUGGGUAACCUACCCAUAAAGCCGGGGCAACCCUUGGAAACGAGGGCUAAUACCGGAUAAUCUUAAGUCUUGGCAUCAGGAAUUAAGGAAAGGUGGCCGAUGAAAAUGCUACCGAUUAUGGAUGGACCCGCGUCUGAUUAGCUGGUUGGUGGGGUAAAGGCCUACCAAGGCGACGAUCAGUAGCCGGCCUGAGAGGGUGAACGGCCACACUGGGACUGAGACACGGCCCAGACUCCUACGGGAGGCAGCAGUGGGGAAUCUUCCGCAAUGGACGAAAGUCUGACGGAGCAACGCCGCGUGUAUGAUGAAGGUCUUCGGAUUGUAAAGUACUGUCUUUGGGGAAGAAUGGUGUGCUUGAGAAUAUUGAGUACAAAUGACGGUACCCAAGGAGGAAGCCCCGGCUAACUACGUGCCAGCAGCCGCGGUAAUACGUAGGGGGCAAGCGUUGUCCGGAAUUAUUGGGCGUAAAGGGCG
rnacentral:rRNA from 1 species